rnacentral:rRNA from 1 species
UAAGCGGAGGAAAAGAAACCAACAGGGAUUGCCCCAGUAACGGCGAGUGAAGCGGCAAAAGCUCAAAUUUGAAAUCCUGCGGGAAUUGUAAUUUGAAGGUUUCGUGGUCUGAGUCGGCCGCGCCCAAGUCCAUUGGAACAUGGCGCCUGGGAGGGUGAGAGCCCCGUAUGGCGCACGCCGACUCUUUGCACCGCGGCUCCGACGAGUCGAGUUGUUUGGGAAUGCAGCUCUAAGUGGGUGGUAAAUUCCAUCUAAAGCUAAAUAUUGGCGAGAGACCGAUAGCGAACAAGUACAGUGAUGGAAAGAUGAAAAGCACUUUGAAAAGAGAGUGAAACAGCACGUGAAAUUGUUGAAAGGGAAGGGCUUGCAAGCAGACACGGUUUUACCGGGCCAGCGUCGAAAAGGGGGGAGGAACAAGAACUCGAGAAUGUGGCGCGCACCUUCGGGCGCGCGUGUUAUAGCUCGUGUUGACGCCUCCAUCCCUUUUCGAGGCCUGCGAUUCUAGGACGCUGGCGUAAUGGUUGCAAGCCGCCCGUCUUGA